rnacentral:rRNA from 1 species
GUCGUACGAGAGUUUUGAACUCAAGUGGCGGACGGGUGAGUAACACGUAAGAAUUUGCCUUUAGGAGGGGGACAACAACUGGAAACGGUUGCUAAUACCCCAUAUGCUUUCGAGUGAAACGGUUUUUCCGCCUAAAGAGAAGCUUGCGGCUGAUUAGCUUGUUGGUAAGGUAAUGGCUUACCAAGGCGACGAUCAGUAUCUGGUUUGAGAGGACGAUCAGACACACUGGAACUGAGACACGGUCCAGACUCCUACGGGAGGCAGCAGUGGGGAAUUUUCCGCAAUGGGCGAAAGCCUGACGGAGCAAUACCGCGUGAGGGAUGAAUGCCUAUGGGUUGUAAACCUCUUUUUUCAGGGAGGAAUCAAUGACGUUACCUGAAGAAUAAGCAUCGGCUAACUCCGUG